GAAAGGUCCUAAGUGGUCAUAUAUUUCAGGAAGACUCCAGCAAAAUUAGUACUGGACAUAUAUAUCAGGUCUCAGAGUCACUACUACAAUUCCCAUAUCCACUGUCUGGACCUUUUGAUUGAAAGUACAGAUUUAAAGAAGCAUUACUCUGUAGGAAGCUUGGCAAGACAGGGAAAUUAUUAGUGCUUUUAGGAUAAACCUAUAUUCAUAUCCCUAUUCAUAGGGCUAGUAAUGACUAAAUCAUAGGAGACAAGGAUUCAAAGGUGUCCAAAGACAACAGAGUUCAUCUUCCUGUCCGGAACAAAGGAACAACACCACCUGCAUUCAGGAGGGAUGGACCUCUGUGAUUGCACACGUGUGGAGUGGGAGAGCCAUGGAGACCAUCGCCUUUGGCAACUCAGCAGAAGUCCUGAAAACUGGCAAAGCAGCUCAGAGCUGUAAGAGAUCUUGGACAAAUUCCUCCUGCCUGCACAGGUUGUUGAGACGUGGUGCAACAGAAGGUUACAGAUAAAAAUGCCA
rnacentral:lncRNA from 14 species